rnacentral:misc_RNA from 1 species
GAUGAAGAACGUAGCGAAAUGCGAUACGUAAUGUGAAUUGCAAAUUCAGUGAAUCAUCGAGCCUUUGAACGCACAUUGCGCCCCCUGGUAUUCCGGGGGGCAUGCCUGUCCGAGCGUCAUUGCUGCCCUCAAGCACGGCUUGUGUGUUGGGCCCCGUCCUCCGAUCCCGGGGGACGGGCCCGAAAGGCAGCGGCGGCACCGCGUCCGGUCCUCGAGCGUAUGGGGCUUUGUCACCCGCUCUGUAGGCCCGGCCGGCGCUUGCCGAUCAACCCAAAUUUUUAUCCAGGUUGACCUCGGAUCAGGUAGGGAUACCCGCUGAACUUAAGCAUAUCAAUAAGCGGAGGA